AAGACCUUGCGCUUUUGGAGCGGCCGAUGCCUGAUUAGCUUGUUGGUAAGGUAAAAGCUUACCAAGGCUUCGAUCAGUAGCUGGUCUGAGAGGACGACCAGCCACACUGGGACUGAGACACGGCCCAGACUCCUACGGGAGGCAGCAGUGGGGAAUUUUGGACAAUGGGGGCAACCCUGAUCCAGCCAUGCCGCGUGAGUGAAGAAGGCCUUCGGGUUGUAAAGCUCUUUCAGCCGGAACGAAACGGUUACGGUUAAUACCCGUGACUACUGACGGUACCAGAAGAAGAAGCACCGGCUAACUACGUGCCAGCAGCCGCGGUAAUACGUAGGGUGCGAGCGUUAAUCGGAAUUACUGGGCGUAAAGGGUGCGCAGGCGGUUUUGUAAGUCAGAUGUGAAAUCCCCGGGCUUAACCUGGGAACU
rnacentral:rRNA from 1 species